UUCCUCAAAAAAGAUUUUUUAUAAAAUUAAUUAAUUAGAAGGAACUCGGCAAAUUUAGUUGUUUCGCCUGUUUAUCAAAAACAUGGCUCUUUGAUUACAAAAAUAUAAAGAGUCAGGCCUGCCCAGUGAAUCUUUUUUAACGGCCGCGGUACUCUGACCGUGCAAAGGUAGCAUAAUCACUUGCCUUAUAAUUGAAGGCUAGUAUGAAUGGUUUAACGAGAGCAACGCUGUCUCCUUUUUAUUUUCAAGAAUUUAACCUUUAGGUGAAGAGGCCUAAAUUUCAUUGAAGGACAAGAAGACCCUGUCGAGCUUAAAAGAUAUUAUAAAAUCUCAUAUACUUUUAAAUAAAAUUUUUAUUAAGCUUUUUAGUUGGGGCGACUAAGGAACAAAAGAAGCUUCUUAUUAAUAAUAGAUAGUCAUAUUUAGAUCCGGAAUAACGAUUAAGGGAAUUAGUUACCGCAGGGAUAACAGCAUAAUCUCUCUUGAGAGAUCUAAUCGAAAGAGAGGGUUGUGACCUCGAUGUUGGACUAGAAUAUCCUGAAGGUGCAGA
rnacentral:rRNA from 1 species